UGAAGCUAAUUUAUAUCUCAA
rnacentral:piRNA from 1 species